CAGCAACAGGGAUGAGUCAGUGAGUCAGUUGGGCUUGUGAAUCAUGAUUCAUGAGUCAGUAAAGUGAUUCUCGAGUACUGAACGAUUCGUUCAUGAUUCGCGCAUCACUAGUCCGCAUGUUCAUGGCGCCAGCAUUUGUUAUGGAAUAUAUUGAGCAAACCUGGAGAUAUUAUUGUUGUCAUUGCUGUGGAUCUUUACUGACUUGGCCCAUCGGGACCAGCACUCCUGUUGUUGGACAGGAAGACAUCAACUCAGUGACUUGAGAUAUGACUGCACUAUGCUGUUGCUGUGACUCCAGUUAAUUCUACAAGACAUGCUGUGACACCAGGAGAGAUGAGUCCUCCGUCACAGAUGGUGUGGUCAGUGAAGGUGGUCACCUGCAGGAUCAAGCUCAUUGCAUCUCCAACCCACAUCCACUGCCACUGUACUUAAGGGAAGUUAAAGACUUUCUUCUGCACCUACAUUUGAAUCACCUCGAUCCAUGACAGUCAUUCAGGCAGUAAUGCCUGGACUGGAAACAAGCCAUCCUUAAAAUAUUACAACAUUCCAGCUCAUGUGUUGGAAUGAAAAACGAAUGUGUUGUUUAAAUUAGAGACUGCACUUGUGACAGAACAAUAAAUAUUUUAUGUUGAUUAUAUAAAUAAUGUAAGUACAAAACAAACUUGUGGUAGGCCUAAACUUAUUUUCAGAAUAAUUACAUCUGAGACUUUGUUUCGUUGUAACAGUGAUGGCAAUAUAAUUUUUAUUCAGCAGAACAGUGUCCAGUAUGUUGGCUGUUGUACUUUGUUGUGUUUGAAAAUAAAAGUUGUGCUCAUUUUAACAUCAUUACAAAAAUUGUUGUUAAUUAUUUUUAAUCAUAUUCAUGGUACCACAAAUUGUUUUUUCAUUUAGUUGAACUUGAAAUGUUUGUCAGUAGGUAAAAAAUUAGUAUUGUCAGAAAGUCAGAAAUAUCAAGUUAUUCUUAAUACUGCAGACUUGCAAUGUAUAAGUUGUCCUAACAGUCAUCCUAAGUAAGCUUUACUUAGUUUUUUUGAGGCAACGAGUUUCCAUAAUUUUUUUGAGUUCUGGGAACUAAUUAGAUUUUACAGUGUAGUCUGUCACCUCAAAACAUCCCUGAAGUUCAGCUAAGGCCUCCUAAGACAGUUGAGUCUGUUCAUUUUUUGCAACUUUCAGAGAGUAUUCUUUUAAACAAUCAUCUUCAUUUUUCAUUUUUCCUAUUUCCUGAUAUUAAACCUGUGAGGUUUGUUGUUCCAGUUUAACACUGACCUUUAAUUUUGAAAAUUUUACU